GGGGAAUAUUGCACAAUGGGCGAAAGCCUGAUGCAGCAACGCCGCGUGAGUGAUGAAGGUCUUCGGAUUGUAAAGCUCCGUCUUUUGGGACGAUAAUGACGGUACCAAAGGAGGAAGCCACGGCUAACUACGUGCCAGCAGCCGCGGUAAUACGUAGGUGGCGAGCGUUGUCCGGAUUUACUGGGCGUAAAGGGUGCGUAGGCGGAUGUUUAAGUGAGAUGUGAAAUACCCGGGCUUAACUUGGGUGCUGCAUUUCAAACUGGANAUCUAGAGUGCAGGAGAGGAGAAUGGAAUUCCUAGUGUAGCGGUGAAAUGCGUAGAGAUUAGGAAGAACACCAGUGGCGAAGGCGAUUCUCUGGACUGUAACUGACGCUGAGGCACGAAAGCGUGGGUAGCAAACAGGAUUAGAUACCCUGGUAGUCCACGCCGUAAACGAUGAGUACUAGGUGUAGGAGGUAUCGACCCCUUCUGUGCCGCAGUAAACACAUUAAGUACUCCGCCUGGGAAGUACGAUCGCAAGAUUAAAAC
rnacentral:rRNA from 1 species